rnacentral:lncRNA from 1 species
UUGUGUAUUACCUUUACCCUGCUUACAUACAACCCUAGCAACUCUAUGCUACUAGGAGAGGGCGCGCACUGCCGGUUCGAGCUGUGUUCGCGUAGGUCACUUAACUGCGUUGCUCAUUUGCAUGUUUAGCGCUCUGAGUAAAUAUGGAUAUUUCCUAUAAGAAUUAAAUCUAGUUAUUAAGGAGGAAGAACAUGCUAGCUGGAAAUGGAAGCUGGCUUCCCAAAAUUCAGAAGGGUUUUUGAAUCAUGCCACUAAAGGACAGUUUAAAAAUUCAAGAGUCGGC